AGCAGAGGAAACCUGAGUCCACAAUGCAUACAGUAUAAAUGACAACUUUGCAGUGUGCUAGUGUUUUCUAUAGAAGAAUUAGGUUUAGUAGAAGUGACAGACAGAUUCCUCACAACUAAGUAUUGGUGAAUGCUCAGUUAUCUCAGUAAUGUAGAUUUUUGUGGUGCAGAAUUAUCUCGUGAGUGUAACACAAUUGUGACAGUUUUGUGAGCCUGGGGAAAAGUAUCUGAUUCACAUUUUUGAGAAAACUAAGUGAUUGAUGUGAAAUAUCCUUGAAGAAUAUUGUCAGGAAUCAGUCACUAAUUAUUUGACUGGAGAAAUCAGGAGUCUUGUUAGUGUUUAUAAACAAAGUCAAACACAACCAAACAUUUGUUGGCACCGGUUGAAAUUGAUCGCUGAAACAUCCUGCAAUC